rnacentral:rRNA from 1 species
GACGAACGCUGGCGGCGUGCUUAACACAUGCAAGUCGAACGGAAAGGCCCUGCUUUUGUGGGGUGCUCGAGUGGCGAACGGGUGAGUAACACGUGAGUAACCUGCCCUUGACUUUGGGAUAACUUCAGGAAACUGGGGCUAAUACCGGAUAGGAGCUCCUGCUGCAUGGUGGGGGUUGGAAAGUUUCGGCGGUUGGGGAUGGACUCGCGGCUUAUCAGCUUGUUGGUGGGGUAGUGGCUUACCAAGGCUUUGACGGGUGGCCGGCCUGAGAGGGUGACCGGCCACAUUGGGACUGAGAUACGGCCCAGACUCCUACGGGAGGCAGCAGUGGGGAAUAUUGCACAAUGGGCGGAAGCCUGAUGCAGCAACGCCGCGUGCGGGAUGACGGCCUUCGGGUUGUAAACCGCUUUCGCCUGUGACGAAGCGUGAGUGACGGUAAUGGGUAAAGAGGCACCGGCUAACUACGUG